ACCCAUGUCCAGGUUGAAGGUGUGGUAAAACACACUGGAGGACCGAACCCACGUCAGUUGAAAAUGGCGGGGAUGAGGUGUGGGUAGCGGUGAAAUUCCAAUCGAACUUGGAGAUAGCUGGUUCUCUCCGAAAUAGCUUUAGGGCUAGCCUCGGAAUAUUGGAUCAUGGAGGUAGAGCACUGUUUGGACUAGGGGCCCGUCAUGGGUUACUGAAUUCAGAUAAACUCCGAAUACCAUUGAUUUAGUUCCGGGAGUCAGACUGCGAGUGAUAAGAUCCGUAGUCGAAAGGGAAACAGCCCAGAUCACCAGUUAAGGUCCCAAAAUUUAUGUUAAGUGGAAAAGGAUGUGGCGGUGCACAGACAACUAGGAUGUUGGCUCAGAAGCAGCCACCAUUUAAAGAGUGCGUAAUAGCUCACUAGUCGAGUGC
rnacentral:rRNA from 1 species